GGANAUGUGGCUCAGUGGUAGANCACUUGCCUAGCAUGCUAGAGGCCUUGAGUUUGAUUCUCAGCACUUUNG
rfam:Neotoma lepida isolate 417 scaffold_709, whole genome shotgun sequence.